rnacentral:rRNA from 1 species
UACAGAGGGUGCAAGCGUUAAUCGGAAUUACUGGGCGUAAAGCGCGCGUAGGUGGUUUUGUUAAGUUGGAUGUGAAAUCCCCGGGCUCAACCUGGGAACUGCAUCCAAAACUGGCAAGCUAGAGUAUGGUAGAGGGUGGUGGAAUUUCCUGUGUAGCGGUGAAAUGCGUAGAUAUAGGAAGGAACACCAGUGGCGAAGGCGACCACCUGGACUGAUACUGACACUGAGGUGCGAAAGCGUGGGGAGCAAACAGG